rnacentral:misc_RNA from 1 species
UUCUUUCAAAAAAUAAAUUAAAAUUAAGAGAUUUUUUAACUCGACGGUAACUGAAUUACUUACCGUCGAGUUGGAGUACUUACCGUCGAGUUGGAUUACUUACCGUCGAGUUGCUAGUAAAUGUCACCUACUGACGUAAAAUCUGUCACGGUAAAUAGUCAAAAAUGAUCAAUCGUGCAAAAAUAAUAUUUUCAUUCGUCCAUUGUUUUGUAUUUACCGCCAAGAAUGAAUUAUGUAAAUUCGGUAAGAGGCGCUCUGGGUGGGCUGGUGCUGGUCUGGUCCAAUAGUCCAAUGCAUAGAUAAGGUAUAUAUAAGUUGUCAUAUGUCAAUUUUCGCUUGCCUGUAUUUUUUUUAUUUGUAUUUACUUUUUGGAUGUAAAAUUAUUAUUAAAUAAAAGACAAAUAAUUUGGUACGAAAUGGAAAUAAAACAAGAGUUAAGUGAGGGCCCCCCCUGCAAAGCAGAAAUAUGUAAUAAGGAGGAAGAUGCUCAUUUAGAUAACUUUAAAAGUGAAAUUAAAGAGGAGCCGAAAAGAGAGAGUACCCAUGAUACAUUUAACUGUUUAGAGUUAGAGGAAAUCUCCUUGAAGACUGAAAUAGAAGAUGAAAAUCAACUUAUGGUAUAUGAAGAAAAACAAACAAAUGAAAAGUACUUUCUCCAAGAGAUGAACACUAUGGAAGUUUUGAACACAACAGAUGAACAUGUAUCUAACAUAGAACAACCUAUGAGUCAACCAGGUGAAGAAAUUACACAAUGCGCAAUUUGUGAUAAAAAGUUUGCUAAAAGAAAAAAUUUGGAUCGUCAUAUGAAAAUUCACACUCCGGAAAAACCUUAUAAGUGCGAAAUUUGUCUGAGGCAGUUUACUACAACAAGUUAUUUUAAACAACAUUUGAGAGUGCACACUGGGGAACAACCUUACAAGUGCGAACUUUGUUUUAGGAUGUUUUCCCAGAUUGGUUCUUUGAAACGACAUAUCGCGUGGCAUAAUGGAGAAAAGCCUUAUCAGUGUGAAAUUUGUUUUAAGCAAUUUAGUCAAACAUGUUAUUUGAAACAACAUUUGAGAUUGCACACUGGAGAAAAACCACACAAGUGUGAAAUUUGUUUUAAGCCGUUUAGUCAAUUAAAUGAUUUGAAAAGACAUAUGAGAGUGCACACUGGAGAAAAACCUUACAAGUGUGAAAUUUGUUUUAAGCGAUUUAGUGAAAAGGGAACUUUGAAACCUCAUAUGAGGUUGCACACUGGAGAGAAACCAUACAAGUGUGAAAUUUGUUUUAAGCAGUUUAACCUAUCACGAAGUUUAAAAAAACAUUUGAGAAUACACACUGAGGAAGAACCUCGUAAGUGCGAAAUUUGUUUUAAACAGUUCACUACAGCAAGUAAUUUGGAAGAACAUUUGAAACUGCACACUGGAGAAAAAGGUUUCAAGUGCAAAAUUUGUUCGAAGCUGUUUUCUCACAUCUGUUAUUUGAAACGACAUAACAGAUGCCAUACUGGAGAAAAACCUUAUCAGUGUGAAAUUUGUUUUAAGCAAUUUAGGGAAACAGUAACUUCGAAACGACAUGUAAGAGUACACACUGGAGAAAAACCACACAAGUGUGAAAUAUGUUUUAAACGGUUUACUACAACAUAUUAUUUGAAAUUACAUUUGAGAGUACACACUGGAGAAAAACCUUACAAGUGUGAUAUUUGUUUUAAGGAGUUUACCCACGCAACUAGUUUGAAAACACAUUUGAGAGUACACACUGGGGAAAAACCUCAUAAGUGUGAAAUUUGUUUUGAGCAGUUUAAUGAAGCACGCGUUUUGAAAAUACACUUAAGAACACACACUGGAGAUAAACGUCAUAAGUGUGAAAUUUGUUUUAGACAAUUUAGUAAAUCGGGAAAUUUGAAACGACAUUUGCAGUGGCACACCAACGCCGGAGAAAAAGCAUAGAGGUGCAAAAUUUGUAUUAAGCAAUUUACAACAGAAUAUUAUUUGAAAAGACAUCUGAGAUUCCACACUGGAGAAGAAACGUACAAGUGUCAAAUUUGUCUUAACUAAUUUACUCGUAAAGUAAUUUAAAUGAUCAUUUAAAAGUUCAUACUGGAGAAAAAUCUUAUGAGUGUGAAAUUUGUUUAAAGAGAUUUAGUGUAUUGAGAACUUUGAAGAUACAUAUGAGGUCGCACACCAGAGAGAAACCAUACAAGUGUAAAAUUUGUAUCAAGCGAUUUAGUACAGCAAGUUAUUUGAAAAGACAUCUGAGUUUGCAAACUGAAGAUAAACUGGAUAGGGUUAUUCGACAAGGAACCAAGCGCAAACGUAGUAAAUCAGAGAAAAUUACGUCAAAAGUUUAGUUUAAAUUGAGGAUGUCAGACGUAAAAGGAUGUAAGUGCAGUUUUGAUAGUUCUGAGAUAAUCAGCUUCAAAGUUAUUUGAGUUUUAUAAAUUCUAGAAGUCAUUAAACUAAAAUAUGGCUGAACCCCGCAAAUCCGAACUAAUUGGGGGGACAGUCUGUUCGGAUUCCGAAAAGUUCGGAUUAUCCGAAAGUUAGCCUUAACUAGUAGUUCAAAGCUUUCAUUGUGAUUUUGAGUAGCCAAACGUUCUCGCAAGAGUGUGGACAAUAUUUUUGGACUCAAGUUGACUACGAGAGAACCAAAGUAAGUUUGUGUUUAACCUUUAUAAACACUUUAUAAACCUAUAUAUUAAAGUAUAAUAUUUAUUUUUAAGAAAUUUUAAAUGUCAAAGUCCUAGUAAUCCUACAUUGUCCAAUUUUCUGGCUUUACUCUGUAUAAUAAACAUGUUUUUAAGUUUU